UCUUGAAGUGUUUAUCUCUGCCUUUUCCU
rnacentral:piRNA from 1 species